rnacentral:misc_RNA from 1 species
AAAGUCGUAACAAGGUAUCCGUAGGUGAACCUGCGGAUGGAUCAUUAGAAGGGAUCUGCAUUCUAGUAGCUAGCUACCUUUGUGGUGUAGAAAUAUAUCGUCUGUUGGGUGUGGUGGUGGUGGUGAAAGCCGCUGUCGCCAGCCCGGCCCUACAAACCUAUUAAAUCAUCUUACUACUAACCGACUGAUGUUGCCUUGUGGGCGAAAGCCACCAAGUAAAUCAAUUGUAAUCAAAUACAACUGCUAGCAACGGAUCACUCGGCUCUC